CCCAGACUCCUACGGGAGGCAGCAGUGGGGGAUAUUGCACAAUGGGGGGAACCCUGAUGCAGCGACGCCGCGUGGGUGAAGGAGCGUUUCGGCGCGUAAAGCCCUAUCGGCAGGGAAGAAGGAGGACGGUACCUGACUAAGAAGCCCCGGCUAACUACGUGCCAGCAGCCGCGGUAAUACGUAGGGGGCAAGCGUUAUCCGGAUUUACUGGGUGUAAAGGGGGCGCAGACGGCAGCGCAAGCCAGGAGUGAAAGCCCGGGGCCCAACCCCGGGACUGCUCUUGGAACUGCGCGGCUGGAGUGCAGGAGGGGCAGGCGGAAUUCCUGGUGUAGCGGUGAAAUGCGUAGAUAUCAGGAGGAACACCGGUGGCGAAGGCGGCCUGCUGGACUGCGACUGACGUUGAGGCCCGAAAGCGUGGGGAGCAAACAGGAUUAGAUACCCCGGUACCC
rnacentral:rRNA from 1 species